AGCGAACGCUGGCGGCAGGCCUAACACAUGCAAGUCGAGCGCCCAGCAAUGGGAGCGGCAGACGGGUGAGUAACGCGUGGGGAUCUGCCCAAUGGUACGGAAUAACCCAGGGAAAUUUGGAUUAAUACCGUAUGUGCCCUUCGGGGGAAAGAUUUAUCGCCAUUGGAUGAACCCGCGUCGGAUUAGCUAGUUGGUGAGGUAAAGGCUCACCAAGGCGACGAUCCGUAGCUGGCCUGAGAGGAUGAUCAGCCACACUGGGACUGAGACACGGCCCAGACUCCUACGGGAGGCAGCAGUGGGGAAUAUUGGACAAUGGGCGCAAGCCUGAUCCAGCCAUGCCGCGUGAGUGAUGAAGGCCUUAGGGUUGUAAAGCCCUUUCGCCGGUGAAGACAAUGACGGUAACCGGAGAAGAAGCCCCGGCUAACUUCGUGCCAGCAGCCGCCGUAAAAC
rnacentral:rRNA from 1 species